UUCUAGCAGAAAGUGGAGGGAGGACAGAAGCCAUGUACUGUGCCAGAUGGAGGCAGAGGUAACUACCCCUGAUGUUCAAUGGGGGUCAAUGGGGAAGCGGCACCUGGGAAGCCAUGAAGAGGAGGUGAGGAGCACAGGAUCUCUCAGUCCUGGAUUACUCUGCCAGACUAACACUGUGGUGCCAAAACAUCAUUCACUGGUGAUGCCUCACAUAGGCAUGCUGUUGAGAUGUGCCAUCCCAUUUCUGGCCGGAAAAUGCAGUUUAAGUCAGAAUGAGCUACUGUACUGCAACUCCAGCUGCAAAAAUAAUUUUAUUUUAUGAAAGCACCCAGUCUUUUAGUCCUGCCCCGAGCUCCCCUGGCCUUCAGCUGGAGUGGCACCAGCAGGACCAGCCAGCCUAGUCACCCGCCAGCUCUCACGUCUGCUAAGCCAAGACCUGGCUCCUCCAGCUCAGACGCAGCAGCAAGACAGCUGCCCACCUAGCUGUAUCUCCCUGGAAGAGCAGGCUUGCUCCCAACAUGACAACAGGGCAGGAGGGGAAGCGGGAGCCUCCGCUGAUGUUGCUCAUGUUCCUGGGCCACCCAGCCUGCAAUUUGCUUUCAUCUGCAGCAUAGGAAACGCACAUCUGUGGGAAAUGCUGCCAGGUCCCUUUGGUCGGGGCUUCGGGCAUGAGCUGCCACAAAAGAACUUCAAUAAAUUGCUCUGGCCUGUCAUUAGUGUUACAUGUCCACAUUAUCCUCCCAGCAGCGGGGUCCCAGGAGCUGCAUCCCUGCCCGCCCCAGGGGAGCUGGUGGCACAGCGCAGUGGGAAUGGGUGUGCAGAGGCAAGCUCUUCCCCGUCUGAUGCUGGCAAUACAUCCGCUGGCUAGACUACAAAGCUACCCUGCUUCCCAGGGCCCCAGGGGAUAAGACACCUGUAUGGAACAAGAAGAGACUGAGAAAAUGCUGGCUUCACUCCCUACUUCCUUACUGAGAGUAGUGGUCCACCUAGCUUGGUGUCUGGCCACACAGCUGGCACAGAUGCAGCAGAAGGACUGGGCAAACAGAUCAUGUCACUUGUGCACGACUUUUGUCCAGUCCCUGGCGAUUUGUGACUCAGGAACUGCCUGACCUAGGAUCAACAUCCUUGUAGUUACUAUCCUGCCCAUGUGUGUCUCUGCUAUGAAUUUCUUUGGCUGCCUUUUAAACCCGUGCCAACCCGCAGUGCCCACAGAGUCCCAUGACAAGGAGUUCUCCUGCUCUGACAUUAACAGAUAAUCUGUGUGCCCUGUACUGCCCAAUGUGCAUUAGUGCCACAUCCACCCCCUGCAGAGAAGGACCCAAGCAUCCAAAAUGAUUCUACACAGGAGACAGCAAGCUCCUUCCCAAGACUACCCCUCCUCAGCUGUGAUGCGACACACAACAGCUCACUAUUGUGCACCUGUGGGAGAACCCGUGGUACAUUUUAGGUACAGAAGAGCUCUGUAACAAUUAAAAUCAGACUAUUGUGCAUAACAGCUGUGAGACAGCAGAAAGUGGGCCAGUCCAUGGGAUGCAUUUCUGUCCAGAAGAUGUGAAGGCAUCUCAGCCAGGGGAACUCUGGGAGGCAUUGGAUUGUGUUGGGAGUGACUUGACUCCUGCCUGGCCUGAUGGAGUGACUGUUCUCUGAGGGUAUCUAUAGCACCUCCUUUGGGUGUCCAACUUGGUUACCUGUAUUCAGAACAGAAAAGAGUAGACUGCUGACUUAAGCACAGUAAAAAUACCCUUCUUGUGCUUCUGUGAGUCUAACGUGCCCCCAGCACGCACAGCCACUGGGCUGCUAUGCCGAGACCUUCUCCCUCCUGCAACCCCCUCCUGCUGUGGCAGCUGCCAGAGGGGAGACAGUGUCUGCCCAGCCUCCUACUGCUGCCAGCCCAAGGACCACACUCAUGCCUUUGCCUACCCAGCCAUCCUGAGGGCCCUGACAUUUUCUUGUGCACUUUUGCAAGGGCCUGGUUAGUCAUUCCAGCUUGCAGCUGGAGAUGGCUAGUGUUAUUGGAGUCUCCGCCCUGGCUGCAAUGCUGCAUUGGGUGGAUUUCCUUGGCUGCCCACCUGCACCCUUGCCCCAGCCCUUUGCUUAUCACCUGGGAGUCUUCUGGAGGGAGCCACGGGGACAUGCAGCACCUGCACCAGCCCCACCACCCCCAGAAGCCCCAUGCAAACAGCUCCCCUUUGUGAGGUUUAGGAACCAUGUGAAGCAGCAAAGAGCUUUUUUUCCUCACCUCCUGGCCAAAAGGAGAGUAUCAUGUUGCUCUGCAUACAUGUGUGUGUGUGUGUAUGUAUGUGCAUAGGAUCAGGGAGAAGCAAAGUUUUGGCCUGAUGAGUCGCAGAUGGUGUGAGGAAGCACAUGGGCUCAUGUGAGGCAGUUUGUGAGCGCAAGCAGUGCCCCUCAGGUUUGUUGGCUGGGAGGUGGGUGAGGUGAGCAGAAUACUUCAUGCAAUGUGUCAUUAAGUCCUCUUACAAAAAAAAUUAAAAAGAAAGAAAAAUAAGGAAAGAAUAAUGAGUCAAAUGGUUGCAAGAGAGAGCUCUGGGCUGACAAGUGCACCUUUGAUGUUGACAUGCUUUUUGCUGCUUCCAAACAACACUGCAGUCAGCAUUGCACAUUGCAUCCCAGUGAAAGAAGGGGUCCGCUUCCCAGAGGGGCUUGCUCAGCCACUCCAGCCCUGCUGUGUUUCCCUUUGUGCUUGCCGUGAGCCUGCUACUGUGUGCUGCUUGUGCUGAGUGACUGGCAGCAGCUUCUGCAGCAUCAGGAUGUGCGGAGCCCACCGUUCUGGCACAGAGGGUUUUGCAAGGCAGCAGAUAACCAAGGGCACGGGCCCUGCUGAGCAGAGAUACUGCAUUUUAGCAAGCCAGGGCCCUUUCUCACAAUGAAAAUGAGAGGAAGCAAACUAAGGAAAAGCAUGCUCUGGCCACAAGGGCUGUUUUGUGUAAGGAUGAGGAGAGGGGACUCAAAAUCAGGAGACUUACGUCCCUUCCAUCAUGUUAAUCCUGUGUCCUUCUUCAGGUACGCAACUGUGUCACUAACUUGCCAUGUGUCCUUGGUCAAGCUGCCUGACCCUUGCACUCCAGCCUCCUUGCUCAUGUCCAUCUGUCCUCAGGCAAGCAUUGUGCGGGCAGGCACGGAUUUAACUGGCUCAGCGACCGCUGUUCAUCCCUGUCUCUUGCUUUCCCACUGUGGUGCUGACAACUCAUAUAUUUCCAGCACUGUGCUGUGGUUUCUCUCUGGCUUUGGGAGCCCAUGUGCCAAAUGCUGCUGAUCAGCCUGCUGCUCAGCUGCAUCUGGUGCAUAUGAAGUCAGCCAGGAGCUAUGGACUGUUUGCUCCUCUGUGAUGGCUGCCCAGAGCUGGUUGUGGCACGUGGGUCAGGGCUGUCAGUGCAGGGGCAGAGCAGAGACCCACUACAAACUGAUAUCCCUCAUCCCAUCCCCUGACACAGAUGUGGGGAUCAGCCCUGAAACUGAAGGGUUUAUGCUGCUCUCUGUCCACACCCAACACAGCAAAGACUCCCUAAAAUGUGAGGGUAUGUCUAUACCCUCCUGAGCAGACUUCUGGUCUGUCCUGAACGUGGCAUGGCAGACUGAGGAAUUGCUCUGGGGAGUUUCAUAUUGAACUCAGUGUAUCCAUGUCAGACUACAAAUCCUGGGUUAAGCAUGGGUCUUCUUUGCCUACUCUUCAUUUUUUGGCCUCUGUGUGGAUCUAAACCCCAUAGCAAACAGCAGGAGAAAUUCCUGCACUUGGCCUGGAGCCCACAGUGUUGGUAAUGAGGUUUGGAUGAUCAUACAGCAGGGUAGAGCGUGCUUAGGCAAAGAGAUGGCCUCCUAACCUGUUUUCCAAGCCUGAGCUGGAGGUAAUUAGGCAACAGAUGAUGUGCCUGGGACUUGGAUCACCUGUUAAUGUGAAUCAGGUGGGUCAGCUGAAAGAAAGGUUGUGAGGUUUUAAAAGAGGCUCCCCAGGAGUUCCUUUAGGAUAGAGGUUGCAGUGAUUGCAGGGGUUGGAGACACACUGGGUGAUUUAUUAGGAGGAUUGGACUUCCUGGUGGUAAAGAAACAGUCUUCAGUGUUGUGGAAGACUGAUGUUAUUCACAGUCUUGAAGAAAUGGCAGCAGACAAAACCCCAAAUACCUGUGGGGUCCACGGUGCCUGCUGCCCACAGCUUCACCCACCAGCUCCCGCUGCAGAUGGCUGGGAAGGGGUGGCAUUCAUCACUGCCGUGAAAGAAGCCCAUCUUCUGUGAUUCUUGUCAGCAAUUCCCUUCACUCAGCCUACACUUCAGCCCAAGCUGUUCUUUCACAUGCUUUUUUCGUUUAUGCAGAUGCACACUUCCCCCACUCUUCCCCCUUCCUCCUCCUCCUCACCUUCCCUGCCCGCACACGCCUCCGGUGCCAGGAUGACAACUCCAAGGCUGCUGGCAGUCCGUUGGCUGUUGCAAAUCAAGGACUUUAAUCACAGCAUGAUGCCAUCAUAUCUGACAGUCUUGAAUCAACCAUACUGCAUGUGGAAGAUCAGCUUAAGCCCCAGGGGCUCAGAUAUCUUUUGAAAAGAGAAGACUGCCCCUCAGCAUCUGUAUUUUGUAAGGUAACGGGACUGUCUCGUUAGCAGAGAACCAGCGUGGUUUCAACAUCCCAGGACAUGUCACUACCAAUCAUUUUUCAUCCCAGAAGCCUUCCAGGACACAUCUCCAAAUGCCCAGUGGCAUUGAAAAAAUUUGUUUCAGCCCUGGCAGAAAGUAUCAGUGGAAAGUCCACAAAAGCUGUUAUACUUCAAAACAAAGAUGGAAACCCGAAGAACACAGGUGAAUGGUGAAUCUGCAUCAGCUCUUGGUUAUGAGUAGCAGAGGAUUAAUCUAAGAUCAAUAAGAUCAAUAAACCAAAAUGCUGACUUAUUAAAAGCCAACACAAAACUCGAGAGGAUUAUCUGUGAAGAUAACAGGUCAUGUGAAGAAGAUGUUGAUCAAAAAACAUGCUUAGUGCAGAUGGAGGAUGAAAAUCAGAGCUCUGUCUCACUAUGGUCUGGUAUUAUUUGGCAGAAGUAAUUGAAAAUUUACACAACAUUGAUACACACAACAGCAGGUGGUCAAUAUAGCUGAAGGAGGACUCUUUUGGAAACCCACACCACCAAGAACCUUUAUUCUUUGGCUAUAGAAGUGAGUGCCAGGACUGAAGGCUGCAAAACACAGCCCAGUUUACAUUUUGCGGGGUGAUGCUGCAGGCAUACACCCACACAACCCAAGGGUAUUGAAGGCCUAUGUGACCUACUUGGGCCACAUAUUCACUAGCUUUCAAAUAAAAGGGCAUGGGCUGUUUCCAGUAUUUUGAGUAUUAUAAGCCUUGGUGAUCCUCAGUAACAUGCUUAUCCAUCCACCUCACCUGAGUGACUUGUACCCAAAUGUUCAAGUUGCAUUUUUGCUACCACCCCAGUUAUGCGACCACCCGCCCAAAGAGUGGUUGCUAACUCUAAAACAUUUUAUUUACAACAAACAUUGAUGCAGUUACUUGGAGUGAUGGACAAGGCAAAUAAGACACCGGUCGAGCGAGUUUUGGAAGAGUUUCAACAUCUGACAUGUCUUGGAAAACAUCCUUGCUGCGUGGGACUCGAUAACCAGCAAGACAAUUAAUGUUGUUUGUAUAGCCAUGCAGCAGGGGAACACUCACAGCUCCAGAGGGUCUGAGGAAGAAAAUGAUGGUGUAGCUUGAAAAGCUCAAAAGGCUUGUAUUGUACGGAAAGCUGCAUUUGAUGAAAAAGACGGGUACUCAAGAGAGUUACCUGAGGUUGAACCUGCUGCAGAAGAGCAGAGGAAGAGAGAAAGGUGAUCCAAACAUGGAAAGACAGUCAACAGUUUAAAAUAAUUCUAAAUUGUUAGAGAAGGCCUAUAACUAAUUCUCUUUGUGUUGCAAAUAGAUCUGAAGCUUGAAGACAAAGAUUAUCAAGGCUGUUGCAGUUAAUCAAGAAAUGUAUAAACAUAUAAAGCAAAUUAAGUCAUUGAU